GAGGCAGUUCUCCGACCGCACUACUGUACUGCACGUCUUAACAGCCGGGGAAAUCUAUUUUAUCUUCCAACUUACCAGCUUCCAGGACUCCUAUCACCGAGUUUUGUCAAAGAUCCAGGGAUGCUGUCACGGUUACUUCGUGGGGGGAUUAGACAAAGGAUCCGCUCGCAUGUCUUUUUGACAGACUUCAGGCGUUCUUAGAGCGAGAAAGGCACCGCCAGACAGACAGUUGCAGUGACAGAGAGUGCUCCAGCCUUCGCUCAGAACAACUUUCUAUGAGAGUAGCCUGCAGUAAGCUAGCAUUGCUCCUACACGCUGCAAAGCAAAUCCCCGCUCCGCAGUGGAAAAAGGCGCCGUUUCAAGAGGCAAGACAAGAAGAUUGUCGAGCAGUCUGCUAAAUAUAUUACACAACCUUUCUACAACCCUGCUACUUCUGACAAGGAAAGAAGCCAUCAUUGUCACAGAGGCAAAGCACCCAUGAAGCAAGCUCCAUCAUUUCAGAGUUAGCACCACCCUGAUGCAGAUCAAAGAUGGCUGACUCUGAAAUGCGAAACAGACCUGCACACUGUGUUUGCAUAUGCAACGAGAACAUGUUUUAUUCACUUACAUGGGUGCAGAAACAGUGGUCAAUGCAUGCAUUAGUGCAUACUUGUCAGUGCUUGGACCUUCCUGGUGGUGAA